rnacentral:lncRNA from 1 species
UUAGUUCGAAAAGGACAUCUGUGGUCUACUAAAACAGUGCAUAGUUAUGAAAAUUUGUCAACAGAAGGCAUGAAAGGCUUAUAAUAUCUAUGUUAAUAUAUAAAUACAUAAAAUAAAUACUUACAAACUUCUGUUGUCUAUCCUGAUAUGUUCCUGGUGCCGUUUCAACCACGACAAAUACAAUACACAAACGGACAUUGAAUCGUCGCUCCUAAUCUUUGAAUAACAUUCGAAACAGACCUUUCCUCCAUGUACUAACUCGAAUAAUUCAGCGCCCCCUAUCCACUACUUUUCUCGAGGAAAUGGUUCAUGAAGUGAUCGAAGUGAUCGUAUAU